UUAUUUGUUAGUUGACGAUGCAAUCAGCAUGCUGAUUAAGGUUGCUUGGUUUUUUACUAAACAUUAACUGAAUGAAAACGGGUAGUCCUUGUUCUGCUUGGGGGGCUUUAAGGAAGCAAAUGGACUUUCAGAACAGAGAUUGUCAAUAAAGGAGUAGGCUGACAUAUGGCCUCCGGAGUAUGGUUCCAGGAUUCAGUCACUAGGUGUUUUAGAUUUGAUUCCAUUGGAAAAAUACAGUGUGAAAGUAACGUGCGUGAGAAGAUUAGUAUGUGCCCGACACAAGAGUUCGCUGAAUGAAUGAUCAGAAGAAAGGAGCUCCACCAAACUGAAGACCCUUUCUCAGGAGUAACUCUAAUACCAAGUUGAGUCAGACUCCUACCAAAGUUUACCACUUAUUGACUUGGAAUAGUUGCAUUUCAACAGAGAGAUGCUGGCUGACUGAAAGGACUAUCACAUGCUUCUUUUCUUGAGGAAUACCCAGCCUGAGCUUUGGAUGUGUCCUCUGAGGAAGUACCCAUGACACAGACCACACGGGACACCAACUCUGAUAUCAGGGAAAGGUUCCACAACAGUUGAGUUUGAACAUGGGAUCACUGAGCUCCUUGGCGCAGAGCUGCUAAUGUCCCCUCUUGAGCUGACAGAGGCUGGUGCUGCCUUGAAGCAUGCCAUGCCAAUUCACAGCAAGGUCUUUAUUGUUGAAACUCUUGCAUAAUGACAUCUUUAUUCAUGUGAAAAUACAGGAUGAAUUUCAACUAUAUGAUAUUGUUUAUGUUCAUCAGAAAUGUUAUUUGUCUUUACAAAGUCUGGUUUCAAUGAACCGGCUAUGUAAUGGAUAUUAAAUAAACAUGGAAUUUUACACAUUCAUAAUAUUUGGUUUCUUGUUGUGAUUUUGAUGAACUACACUUUCAAGCACUGUCAGUUCAUCCUUAUUUACAAACAAAACAUUUGCUUGUAGCAGAGUGAUAUAGUGACUUGCUUUAUUUUAAGAUAAGUCAACUUUUCUAUUCAAUGUUUAAUGUGAAACUGACUCAAAAAUGUUCUUUUAGGCCACAUUUACAUUUCUCGCUGUAUAACAUGUAUUAUACUAUUUUAACUUAAUGCUGUGAGCUAUAUAAACCAAAGACAUUCUAAUUCUGUUUUUAAUGUAUUUUUUCCAAGAUAAAUAAUUUAUAAUGUACUAA